UACGGAGGAUGCAAGCGUUAUCCGGAAUGAUUGGGCGUAAAGCGUCCGCAGGUGGCUAUGUAAGUCUGCUGUUAAAGAGUCUGGCUCAACCAGAUAAAGGCAGUGGAACUACAUGGCUAGAGUGCGUUCGGGGCAGAGGAAUCCUGGUGUAGCGGUGAAUGCGUAGAGAUCAGGAAGAACACCGGUGGCGAAAGCGCUCUGCUAGGCCGCAACUGACACUGAGGGACGAAAGCUAGGGGAGCGA
rnacentral:rRNA from 1 species